rnacentral:rRNA from 1 species
UCGGGUGUAAACUGCUUUUAUAAGCGAGAAAUAUGAUGGUAACUUAUGAAUAAGGACCGGCUAACUACGUGCCAGCAGCCGCGGUCAUACGUAGGGUCCAAGCAUUAUCCGGAUUGACUGGGUGUAAAGAGUUGCGUAGGUGGCAGGGUAAGUAGAUAGUGAAAUCUGGUGGCUCAACCAUUCAGACUAUUAUCUAAACUGCUCCGCUCGAGAGCGUUAGGGGUAGCUGGAAUUUCUAGUGUAGGAGUGAAAUCCGUAGAUAUUAGAAAGAACACCGAUAGCGUAGGCAGGCUACUGGGACGUUUCUGACACUAAGGCACGAAAGCGUGGGGAGCAAACGGGAUUAGAUACCCCGGUAGUCCACGCUGUAAACGAUGGAUACUAGCAGUUCCCGGUAUCGACCCCGGAAGUUGCGAAGCUAACGCGUUAAGUAUCCCACCUGUGUAGUACGAUCGCAAGAUUAAAACAUAAAGGAAUUGACGGGGACCCGCACAAGCGGUGGAGCGUGAUCUUUAAUUCGAUGGUAAACGAUAAACCUUACCAAGGCUUGACAUCUCGGGAAGGCUUCCGAAAGGAAUCUGUGCCCUCGGGAACCCGAAGACAGGUGAUGCAUGGCCGUCGUCAGCUCGUGUCGUGAGAUGUUUGGUUAAGUCCAUCAACGAGCGCAACCCUUGCAACCAGUUGGAUUUUUCUGGUAGGACUGCCCCGGUAACGGGGAGGAAGGAGGGGAUGAUGUCAGGUCAGUAUUUCCCUUACGCCUUGGGCUAGAAUCGCGCUACAAUGGCUGGUACAAUGCGAAGCGAAGCAGUGAUGUGAAGCAAAUCGCACCAAAGCCAGUCCCAGUUCGGAUAGAAGGCUGAAACUCGCCUUCUUGAAGUCGGAAUCGCUAGUAAUCGCAGAUCAGCAUGUUGCGGUGAAUACGUUCCCGGGUCUUGCACACACCGCCCG